CUGGAGGACCGAACCGACUAAUGUUGAAAAAUUAGCGGAUGACCUGUGGCUGGGGGUGAAAGGCCAAUCAAACCGGGAGAUAGCUGGUUCUCCCCGAAAGCUAUUUAGGUAGCGCCUCGUGAACUCAUCUCCGGGGGUAGAGCACUGUUUCGGCUAGGGGGCCAUCCCGGCUUACCAACCCGAUGCAAACUGCGAAUACCGGAGAAUGUUAUCACGGGAGACACACGGCGGGUGCUAACGUCCGUCGUGAAGAGGGAAACAACCCAGACCGCCAGCUAAGGUCCCAAAGUCAUGGUUAAGUGGGAAACGAUGUGGGAAGGCCCAGACAGCCAGGAUGUUGGCUUAGAAGCAGCCAUCAUUUAAAGAAAGCGUAAUAGCUCACUGGUCGAGUCGGCCUGCGCGGAAGAUGUAACGGGGCUAAACCAUGCACCGAAGCUGCGGCAGCGACACUCAGGUGUUGUUGGGUAGGGGAGCGUUCUGUAAGCCUGCGAAGGUGGCCUGUGAGGGUUGCUGGAGGUAUCAGAAGUGCGAAUGCUGACAUAAGUAACGAUAAAGCGGGUGAAAAGCCCGCUCGCCGGAAGACCAAGGGUUCCUGUCCAACGUUAAUCGGGGCAGGGUGAGUCGACCCCUAAGGCGAGGCCGAAAGGCGUAGUCGAUGGGAAACGGGUUAAUAUUCCCGUACUUGGUGUUACUGCGAAGGGGGGACGGAGAAGGCUAUGUUGGCCGGGCGACGGUUGUCCCGGUUUAAGCGUGUAGGUGUGUGUUCCAGGUAAAUCCGGUUCACUUUAACACUGAGGCGUGAUGACGAGGCACUACGGUGCUGAAGCAACAAAUGCCCUGCUUCCAGGAAAAGCCUCUAAGCAUCAGGUAACAUCAAAUCGUACCCCAAACCGACACAGGUGGUCAGGUAGAGAAUACCAAGGCGCUUGAGAGAACUCGGGUGAAGGAACUAGGCAAAAUGGUGCCGUAACUUCGGGAGAAGGCACGCUGACACGUAGGUGAAGUGAUUUACUCAUGGAGCUGAAGUCAGUCGAAGAUACCAGCUGGCUGCAACUGUUUAUUAAAAACACAGCACUGUGCAAACACGAAAGUGGACGUAUACGGUGUGACGCCUGCCCGGUGCCGGAAGGUUAAUUGAUGGGGUCAGCGCAAGCGAAGCUCCUGAUCGAAGCCCCGGUAAACGGCGGCCGUAACUAUAACGGUCCUAAGGUAGCGAAAUUCCUUGUCGGGUAAGUUCCGACCUGCACGAAUGGCGUAAUGAUGGCCAGGCUGUCUCCACCCGAGACUCAGUGAAAUUGAACUCGCUGUGAAGAUGCAGUGUACCCGCGGCAAGACGGAAAGACCCCGUGAACCUUUACUAUAGCUUGACACUGAACAUUGAGCCUUGAUGUGUAGGAUAGGUGGGAGGCUUUGAAGUGUGGACGCCAGUCUGCAUGGAGCCGGCCUUGAAAUACCACCCUUUAAUGUUUGAUGUUCUAACGUGGACCCGUGAUCCGGGUUGCGGACAGUGUCUGGUGGGUAGUUUGACUGGGGCGGUCUCCUCCUAAAGAGUAACGGAGGAGCACGAAGGUUGGCUAAUCCUGGUCGGACAUCAGGAGGUUAGUGCAAUGGCAUAAGCCAGCUUGACUGCGAGCGUGACGGCGCGAGCAGGUGCGAAAGCAGGUCAUAGUGAUCCGGUGGUUCUGAAUGGAAGGGCCAUCGCUCAACGGAUAAAAGGUACUCCGGGGAUAACAGGCUGAUACCGCCCAAGAGUUCAUAUCGACGGCGGUGUUUGGCACCUCGAUGUCGGCUCAUCACAUCCUGGGGCUGAAGUAGGUCCCAAGGGUAUGGCUGUUCGCCAUUUAAAGUGGUACGCGAGCUGGGUUUAGAACGUCGUGAGACAGUUCGGUCCCUAUCUGCCGUGGGCGCUGGAGAACUGAGGGGGGCUGCUCCUAGUACGAGAGGACCGGAGUGGACGCAUCACUGGUGUUCGGGUUGUCAUGCCAAUGGCACUGCCCGGUAGCUAAAUGCGGAAGAGAUAAGUGCUGAAAGCAUCUAAGCACGAAACUUGCCCCGAGAUGAGUUCUCCCUGAGACUUUAGGUCUCCUGAAGGAACGUUGAAGACGACGACGUUGAUAGGCCGGGUGUGUAAGCGCAGCGAUGCGUUGAGCUAACCGGUACUAAUGAACCGUGAGGCUUAACCUUACA
rnacentral:rRNA from 1 species